AACGAACGCUGGCGGCAUGCCUAACACAUGCAAGUCGAACGAGACCUUCGGGUCUAGUGGCGCACGGGUGCGUAACGCGUGGGAACCUGCCCUUAGGUUCGGAAUAACUCCCCGAAAGGGGUGCUAAUACCGGAUAAUGUCUUCGGACCAAAGAUUUAUCGCCUUUGGAUGGGCCCGCGUUGGAUUAGCUAGUUGGUAGGGUAAAAGCCUACCAAGGCGACGAUCCAUAGCUGGUCUGAGAGGAUGAUCAGCCACACUGGGACUGAGACACGGCCCAGACCCCGACGGAAGGAGGGAGGGGGGAAUUUUGGACAAUGGGGGAAGGCCUGACCCACCAUUGCCGGGUGGUUGAUGAAGCCUUUGGGGUUGAAAAGCUUUUUUCCCCGGGAUGAUAAUGACAGUACCGGGAAAAAAAGCCCCGGCUAACUCCGUG
rnacentral:rRNA from 1 species